rnacentral:rRNA from 1 species
AAAUAUAUAGAUGCUUGCAUUUAGAUAUUUUUAGUGGCGAACGGGUGAGUAAUAUAUAGAUAACCUACCUUUAAGUUGGGGAUAACAGAGGGAAACUUUUGCUAAUACCGAAUAAAAUAAUUAGACGCAUGUUUAAUUAUUAAAAGGGGCUCCAAAGCCCCGCUCGAAGAGGGGUCUAUAUCGCAUUAGCUAGUUGGUAAGAUAACAGCCUACCAAGGCGAUGAUGCGUAGUGUUACUGAGAGGUAGAACAGCCACAUUGGGACUGAGAUACGGCCCAAACUCCUACGGGAGGCAGCAGUAGGGAAUUUUCGGCAAUGGGGGGAACCUGACCGAGCAAUGCCGCGUGAUUGAAGAAGAUCUUCGGAUCGUAAAGAUCUGUUAUUAGGGAAGAAUAUUCAGAAGAGGAAAUGCUUUUGAGUUGACGGUGCCUAAUGAGGAAGCCCCGGCUAACUAUGUGCCAGCAGCCGCGGUAAUACAUAGGGGGCGAGCGUUAUCCGGAAUUAUUGGGCGUAAAGGGUACGUAGGCGGGCCUGCAAGUCUGAUUUGAAAGCACACGGCUUAACCGUGUGAGGUAAUUAGAAACUACGGGUCUAGAGAGUGGUAGAGGUAAAUGGAAUUCCAAGUGGAGCGGUGAAAUGCGUAGAGAUUUGGAGGAACACCAGUGGCGAAGGCGGUUUACUGGGCCACAUCUGACGCUGAUGUACGAAAGCGUGGGGAGCAAACAGGAUUAGAUACCCUGGUAGUCCACGCCGUAAACGAUGAGUGCUAAGUAUCGGUAGAAUCGGUGCUCAACGUAACGCAGUAAGCACUCCGCCUGGGGAGUACGGUCGCAAGACUGAAACUCAAAGGGAUUGACGGGGACUCGCACAAGCGGUGGAGCAUGCGGUUUAAUUCGAUGCAACGCGAAGAACCUUACCAGGUCUUGACAGUGUAAAGAAUACUUAAGAGAUUAAGGGCUAAGAAUUAAGCUUGCUUAUUUCACUUUAUAAACAGGUGGUGCAUGGUUGUCGUCAGCUCGUGUCGUGAGAUGUUGGGUUAAGUCCCGCAACGAGCGCAACCCUUAUUGCUAGUUGCCAUCAUUAAGUUGGGCACUCUAGCAAGACUGCCGGUGACAAAUCGGAUGAAGGUGGGGAUGACGUCAAAUCAUCAUGCCCCUUAUGACCUGGGCUACACGCGUGCUACAAUGGCUAAUACAAAGAGUUGCAAAACCGUGAGGUAGAGCUAAUCUCAUAAAGUUAGUCUCAGUUCGGAUUGUAGUCUGCAACUCGACUACAUGAAGUUGGAAUCGCUAGUAAUCGUAAAUCAGAAUGUUACGGUGAAUACGUUCUCGAGUCUUGUACACACCGCCCGUC